rnacentral:lncRNA from 1 species
UUUUAUUUUAGUUAACUUUUAAAAAAAUCCAAAUUAUAGUUUAUGGAAAUAAAAUUAGUUCAAUCGAAUUCAAAAAUAGUUCAUCAACAGUCAAAUUAUAAUGCACCAAAAUCCAUAUUCGGUUCUACAACAUUCAAAGUCCAGUUCACAGAAUUCAAAUUCGGUUCAUCAAAUCACAAUUUUAGUUCACUAGAUUCAUAUUCAGUUCACUUGAAUACUCAUCAUAAUCUCAAAGUCUAGUUCACUCAAAAAACCAUCUAAUUCAGUUCAUUAAAAUUAGUUCAUCUGGAUUCAAGUUUUUAGUUCACGCAAAUGUAACUCAGUUCAAGAAUUUUGCAAUGAAAACCAUGUGAGUUGUUUUUUUAUUUUAGCUACAUUUCUUAAAAAAUCCAAAUUAUAGUUCAUGGAAAAUAAAAGUUGUACAAUCGAAUUCAAAAAUAGUUCAUCAACAGUUAACUUAUAAUGAACCAAAAUCCAUAUUCGGUUCUACAACACUGAUAAUCUAGUUCACAAAGUUCAAAUUCGGUUCAUCAAAUCAUAAUUUUAGUUCACUAGACUCAUAUUUAGUUCACUUUACUACUCAUCAUAAUCUCAAAGUUUAGUUCACUGAAUUCAAAUUCAAUUAAUUAAAAUUAGUUCACCUGGAUUCAAGUUUUUAGUUCACGCAAAUCUAUCUCAGUUCAUGAAUUUUGCAAAGAAAACUACUUCAGUUGUUUUUUAUUUUUAGUUAAAUUUUUUAAAAUCAAAAUUAUAGUUCAUUGAAAACAAAAUUAGUUCAAUCAAAUCCAAAAAUAGUUCAUUAACAGUCAAAUUAUAAUCAACCAAAUCCACAUUCAAUUCUCCAACAUUCAAAGUCUAGUUCACCAAAUUCAAAUUCGGGUCCUCGAAUCACAAUUUUUGUUCACUAGAUUCAUAUUCAGUUCACUUGAAUACACAUCAUAAUUUCAAAAUUUAUUUCAAUGAAUUCAAAUUCUGUUCAUCAAAAUUAGUUCAUCUAUAUUCAAAUUUUUAGUUCACGCAAAUCUAAUUUAGUUCAUGAAUUCUGCAAUGAAAACCAGGUCAGUUGUUUUUUAUUUUAGUUAACUUUUUUAAAAAUCAAAAUUAUACAUUCAUAAUCAACUUCACCAAGUUCAAAUUCGGUUCAUCAAAUCAUAAUUUUAGUUCACUAGAUCCACAUUCAGUUCACUUCAAUACUCAUCGUAAUAUCAAAGUUAAGUUAGCUGAAUUCAAAUUCAGUUCAUUAAAAAUAGUUCAGCUUGAUUCAAG